CGGCGGACGGGUGAGUAACGCGUGGACAACCUGCCCUAUGCAGGGGGAUAACAUCCGGAAACGGGUGCUAAUACCGCAUAAGCGCACAGUACCGCAUGGUACGGUGUGAAAAGCUGAGGCGGCAUAGGAUGGGUCCGCGUUGGAUUAGGCAGUUGGCGGGGUAACGGCCCACCAAACCGACGAUCCAUAGCCGGCCUGAGAGGGCGGACGGCCACAUGGGACUGAGACACGGCCCAGACUCCUACGGGAGGCAGCAG
rnacentral:rRNA from 1 species